GCCGUAGUGGCGGAAUUGGUAGACGCGCUAGGUUCAGGGUCUAGUGUUCUUUGGACGUGGGAGUUCGAGUCUCCCCUACGGCACCA
rnacentral:tRNA from 3 species